rnacentral:SRP_RNA from 1 species
UGUUGGUUCUCCCGCAACGCUACUCUGUUUACCAGGUCAGGUCCGGAAGGAAGCAGCCAAGGCAGAUGACGCGUGUGCGGGAUGUAGCUGGCAGGG